UACGGAGGGUGCAAGCGUUAUCCGGAUUCACUGGGUUUAAAGGGUGCGUAGGAGGGCAGGUAAGUCAGUGGUGAAAUCUCCAAGCUUAACUUGGAACUGCCGUUGAUACUAUCUGUCUUGAAUAUUGUGGAGGUGAGCGGAAUAUGUCAUGUAGCGGUGAAAUGCUUAGAUAUGACAUAGAACACCAAUUGCGAAGGCAGCUCACUACUCAACCAUUGACUCUGAGGCACGAAAGCGUGGGGAUCAAACAGG
rnacentral:rRNA from 1 species